rnacentral:lncRNA from 1 species
AUGUUUGGUGGAAAAGCUAGUUGUUCUUUUCUUUGUGGUUGUUAGGAGAUCAAAGCGAUUUGUUUCCUUUCAGGUUGAUUUUAUUUUAUUUUAUAUUAUAUCGUUCUCUCUCGGAUUGUGUGAGUCAUGUUUAAGCUAAUUUUGUGUUGUUUAUUAACGUGUUUUGUGUAGUCUCUAAAAUUAUUCCCGCUCCUGUAGGUUUUGAGCCUAUGUUUAUAUCUUCUUUUUUAGUAAUAAAAUCUUAACAAAAAAGAAUGUUAUCAAAGCAGAAAGCAUCUUAACAAAAAAGAAUGUUAUCAAAGCAGGAAGCAUUGUUUACCUUUUCUAUCCAUCCUCAAUAAUAGUGAUUAUUCCAUUACAAGUUUUUUGGUACGUAUCCUUGCUCUGUUUGAUAAUCAUGCAUUUAUGUGUAUAAUACUAUAAGUAAGCUUGUUGAAUUUUGCAGUUACUUGUCUUGGUCUCUUGCAUUCAUGUGAAACCAGAUGUCGUAUGCCCAUGGAAAAUCACUGAAUAUGACUCUAAGAGCAGGGAAUUUAUUAUAGAGGGGAGGAGAGUAUUAAUGAAACACCACGCUGAAGCUCAAGCCACACAACUCUAAUACAUGGCAUACUGCUACGGUGCUUUCUAUAGCACCAGUAAGUAUAAUUAUUUUUUUCGGUUAAUUUCUCUGUACAAAUGAUUUACUUUUUAACCAUGUUAAAUUUGAUAAAAAAGGUGUUGGGAGGCAAACUCAAUUAUUCUUAACUGUUCAAGAAUAUUUAUAUUUUAUGCUGGACUGAUUUGAUGACACGUUACUACCCUUGUUUCACAAAACUUAUGGCUAUAUGGGUAAGAAAAUUAUCCAUCAGGAUUUAUUUAUUGCGGUUUAAUACAUAUCUAAUUCCUCCUCUUUUUAAGGAAUUCAUUUUGAAAUUUCUCUUUUUCCAUUCGUGCCGAUCUCAAAAGGCUAGAUAACAUUUUUGUGGGUGAUAAAUUUGUGCAUAACAUAUUGCGCACAUGGGAUCAAAAUUGUAUCAAUCUUAAAGGCUGGACAUAAAACAUGACAUGUGUUCUAGUAGUUAACAAAUCACCUGCCAUUCUCAAUUGUUUUACUGUGUGAACUGUGAAGACAUUCAGAAUCUUGAGUUUUGUCAAGCACCCAAUUAAAUUUGGGUAGAGAUUUUAGCUGACUUGAGUAUGCAUCCAACUUACUCAUAUUCAGCAAUCUCGUU